GGUAUUAUUAGCAAGUAUGAGUAGUAGGCUUUGUCUAUCACUCAUUCAUUCCAUUUAUAUUGUGUUCAGAAAUUAUCAACAGGCGCCGACUUUGUUUGUCUAUUUUCUCUGUCUGCCCUCGCCCCAUUGUCUUUGUAAGUAAAGCUAGUAAUUUAUCCUUUGCUUUGCUUUGCUUGUAGCAGUUUAUGAAAUGUCACUGACAGAGAGAUCCUACGGCUGAAAAACAAGGUUUUUAAUUUUAGGAUGGAGGAAGGGAGGGAAGGAUAAUAGUCAAUCCACCGGAGAAACCUGUGAUUAGGAGGGAGGUGCGGCGGCUGUUUGCCCCAAAAGGCGAAAAGAGAGAGGAUUGGCCUCUGCCUCUGUGUGCUGGGGCUGCCUUGUUUAAUUUUUUUUUUUUUAUAUAUUUAUUUAAAAAUUUUAAUUUUUAGGAAAGAUGAUGGUGAGGAAUGUGGUGAUGGUGAUGUUGUUUGUAACGGUGAUUGCUCCCAUUAUACUUUACACUGAUCGUCUUGGGUCCUUCCAGGUCUCCUCUUCCUCCUCCGGAGACGAUUUUGUUGAAGAUGUUACAGCCGUUGCUGCUAAUGCUCAUACAGGCCGUCUAAAUCUGCUUCCCCAGGAAUCAUCCACAACCCUUAAAGAACCUGUCGGAGUGGUAUAUUCCGACAACUCCACUAAUUCAUAUCCAGAGACAAGGGGGAGCUCCGCCCACCCUAAUCACUCUCAUAAAGAUGGGCCUUCAGUGGACUCCAUGGAGCAUGUAUCUGCUAGAGUGUUAUCUACCACCAACGACCAAAAUCUGUCUCAAACAGAUAAUCCCAUCAGACAGGUCACUCAAACACUUGAGCAAGGAAACCAGUUUAUGUCUGACUUACAUGCCAAAGGAGGUGGUGCUUCUGAGCAAAGUAUUGAUAAUGCCUCUCAGACUACGGAAAUAAAGAAUGAGCGACAAUCCACUCAAACAUCCAGCAGGGUUGAUCAAAGAAAACCCAAGAAAACUAUGACUGAAAAACAGAAUGAUGAAACAGCUGUUCCAGAUGUUCGGGUACGACAUCUUAAAGACCAGCUCAUCAGGGCAAAGGUCUACCUAUCUCUUCCAGCCACAAGAAACAACCCCCAUUUCACAAGGGAGCUUCGACUGCGAAUAAAGGAAGUUCAAAAAGCACUUUGGGAGGCAACCAAGGAUUCUGACCUGCCAAGGAACGCCUACGAUAAGUUGAAGGCAAUGGAACAGACAUUGACUAAAGGUAAGCAGAUUCAAGACGAUUGCGCAGCUAUGGUGAAAAAGCUUCGAGCUAUGCUUCAUUCAAUGGAAGAGCAACUCCGGGUGCACAGGAAGCAGACUAUGUUCUUGACACAAUUGACGGCAAAAACACUUCCCAAGGGACUUCACUGUCUUCCAUUGCGCCUUACCACUGAAUACUAUACCUUAAAUUCUUCUCAACAGGUCUUUCCCAAUCAAGAGAAACUAGAAGAUCCCCUGCUGUACCAUUAUGCACUAUUCUCAGACAAUGUAUUGGCUGCAGCGGUUGUUGUAAACUCAACUAUCACACAUGCUAAGGACCCUGCAAAUCAUGUUUUCCAUAUUGUCACUGAUAGGCUCAAUUAUGCUGCAAUGAGAAUGUGGUUUUUAGUAAAUUCACCGGGCAAGGCCACUAUUCAGGUUCAAAACAUUGAAGAAUUUACAUGGUUGAAUUCAAGUUACAGUCCAGUUCUGAAGCAGUUGGGUUCUGCAUCCAUGAUAAAUUAUUACUUUAGGACUCAUCGGGCCAAUUCUGAUUCAAAUUUGAAGUUUCGAAACCCAAAGUACUUGUCUAUCCUGAACCAUCUCCGCUUUUACCUUCCAGAGGUCUUUCCAAAGCUCAACAAAGUUCUGUUCCUGGAUGAUGAUGUAGUUGUGCAGAAGGAUCUUACUGGGCUCUGGGCCCUUGACUUGAAGGGAAAUGUUAAUGGGGCUGUGGAGACUUGUGGAGAAAGCUUCCAUCGCUUUGAUCGGUAUCUUAACUUUUCAAAUCCUCUUAUCUCAAAGAAUUUUGAUGCUCGUGCUUGUGGAUGGGCGUAUGGAAUGAAUAUCUUUGAUUUGGAGGAAUGGAAGAAGCAAAACAUCACAGAGGUGUACCACAGAUGGCAGGAGCUGAAUCAUGAUAGACAAUUGUGGAAGUUGGGGACCCUACCACCUGGGCUCAUAACAUUUUGGAAACGCACAUACCCACUCGAUCGCUCCUGGCAUGUGCUGGGCCUUGGUUAUAACCCUAGUGUUAACCAGAAGGAAAUUGAUCGAGCAGCUGUUAUACACUAUAAUGGCAACAUGAAACCGUGGCUUGAGAUAGGCAUACCCAAAUACCGAAAUUACUGGGUAAAAUAUGUUGAUUAUGAUCAUAUGUAUAUGCGAGAGUGCAAUAUCAAUCCAUAGAAUGGCACUUAUGGUAUGUUUGAAGUGUUCUGUGCAACACCUUCUAAGCUGUAAAAUGUGACAGGCAUUUCAUGUUGGAGUCAUAAGUUACGGUUACAUAUCUGCAGAACUCAUGUACUUGUAAAUUAUUGGAAGCUAAAGUUUUUCACCAUAUAGUUUGUGUUUUUCGUCGUGGUUGUGCUUGUGCAUAGAUAGUCAUGGCAUCUAGUAUCAUUUUGAACCACUUCUGUAAUUGUAAGAUAUGGUAGCUUCUCUAUCAA